rnacentral:rRNA from 1 species
GUGGCUUAAUUUGACUCAACGCGGGAAAUCUUACCGGGUCCGGACACACUGAGGAUUGACAGAUAUAUACCCCGUGAUUUUAUCGCGGGGUUGAAAGAUGCUAGUUCUUUCAUGAUUAUGUGAUAGGUGGUGCAUGGCCGUUCUUAGUUCGUGGAGUGAUCUGUCUGCUUAAUUGCGUAUCAAUAAUAGAGACCUAGUAUACGCGUAGACUCAUGCGGUAGUGACCCCCCUUCACAGGGCGCGUGUCGCACGUAUGUUAUACGCACAGGUCUCCGAUAGCAACGAACGUGACCGUACUCUAUUGUUGCAGCGACAAUACCUUUCAACGGGUAUUACCGCUGCUUAGCAAGAUUCGUCUUGCAUUAAACUAUAGAGACCGCUGUUUCUUCUUUAAACCAGAGGAAGGAUACGGCAAUAACAGGUCUGUGAUGCCGUGGCUUAAUUUGACUCAACGCGGGAAAUCUUACCGGGUCCGGACACACUGAGGAUUGACAGAUAUAUACCCCGUGAUUUUAUCGCGGGGUUGAAAGAUGCUAGUUCUUUCAUGAUUAUGUGAUAGGUGGUGCAUGGCCGUUCUUAGUUCGUGGAGUGAUCUGUCUGCUUAAUUGCGUAUCAAUAAUAGAGACCUAGUAUACGCGUAGACUCAUGCGGUAGUGACCCCCCUUCACAGGGCGCGUGUCGCACGUAUGUUAUACGCACAGGUCUCCGAUAGCAACGAACGUGACCGUACUCUAUUGUUGCAGCGACAAUACCUUUCAACGGGUAUUACCGCUGCUUAGCAAGAUUCGUCUCGCAUUGAACUAUAGAGACCGCUGUUUCUUCUUUAAACCAGAGGAAG